rnacentral:lncRNA from 1 species
GGAUCAUAGCUUGUACUUAGUGGGGUUGUUAUUGAUAAUGAAAAUUCCACAAGAGGUCACUAAGUAUGACAGUAUUCAUUGUUUUUUAUCUUGCUUAUUUAAUAAUUGCACCUUUUUUAAUCCAAGAUUGUGUUGCUCGGCAGAUGAAUGUAUUGUCACUGUACAAUUACCAUAUUUGGAAGUUCUUAAUGACACAAAGAUGAGCUAGAUUCUCUAGCUUACUAUAACAGUUUGGGUUUUGUAUCACCAGAUCUUUCAAUAGUUAAUGUAUAAGAGAACCCAACAGUAGAAGAAAUUCAAGGCGGGGGGGAGAAUAGAGACCUCCUAGAAUGUCCAUCAUUCAUGGUUUUGGUAGUGCCUGCCCUGGACACUAAUAUAUAUAUAUAUAUAUAUAUAUAUAUAUAUAGUUCAUAUAUAUGGUUUAAAUGCCCUUUGUACCAGGGCUUUAUAUGGUUAAUAUAUCAGGAAAUGUACCUAGGAUCACACAGCUGACGAUUAGACUUGGCUGCAGUCCUGGACUCCAGACCCUACCUCCAAGAACUUACUAUAAAGUAGUUGAAUUUAACAAAUGAAUCACAUGCAACUAGAAGACAGGGCUGAACUGGCUGAACUGGCAGAGGUGAUUACUACUCUGCCUUCUUCCUUAUUCGCCAUGGACAUAAACAUCACAGAGGGUGGGUGCUCAAUGGAACCUUUCAGCAGGAGCAAAGGAUUAGCAAAGCCUGAAGAUCUUUCGGUUGAGUUGAGCUUCAGAAUUCAAGAGGAAUAUACCAAGAGUGUGUAUGACCCACAGAUGUAAGGGAUCAUAAGGACUGAGGAGAGGUGUAGGCUCUGGUGAGCUCAGAGCUUUGCUGGCUAGGCUCCAGGAUGAGGAAGACAGUAGAGCACCAGGUCAUCUUCUCCCUGCUUAUCAGUCCUUAGCAGUGGAAUGAAGAAGUCUGUAUUCAACAUACAUCUGUCUGGCUACUCCAGUGCACGUUUUCCCGGGAUACCUGCGCCUUCUAAUGAGGCUGGUGGAGGGAGUAGUCCACACAAAUUCAGCACCCUUGUUAGUCUCUCAUCCUUUAAUCCAGUGAUUUAAGAGAACACCAACUUGUCUCUAAUUUCCAUUGGGAGUUGCCUUCAUUAGAUAAACCUGUGCCAAAAGGAAAUCUUUAAAAGUAAUUUCCAUUGCCCUGAUUAUUUGUGGGUGGUAUUUUUUUGUAUGGUUUCCAAAGCACUGACCCUAAGCACAGUGGGACAGUCAUGUGGAGCUCUUGCCAACUCCUCACUCAGGGAAAAGGACAGAGAAAGGUGCCUGUAGCUUUGGUUACAACCUCCUGGAAACAGAACCAGUGGGUAGUUUUCCAGCCCCAGCGACUCAAUGUAUAUCCUUUAAGGUACACUCUAGUGGGUAUAUUUUUUCCCAGAUUCUGAACAUUGCCCCAGGACAACUGUCUGAGUUCAUUUUGGCACCAGGACAAAUGAGAGGAUGUUUCCUGUUUGCCUGACUCUUGCCCCAACUUCUUUCUCUGUUCUGUUAAGCUCUUGGCUAAAUUCUUUCCUCUUGUAUUCCACAUUUUAACUGAUGUUAGGGCACUGAGUGCAAAAAUCUGCAAACAGUUAGCUUUCAUGUUUGAACAUUCCAGUCAGAACAGACUGAUGUUAAAGUUCUCGGAGCACGGCAAGAUCCCCCUCUGCAUAAUGCAUUAAACAUUUAAUAACUCUACUAAUAAUCCCAAACACUUUUAAUGGGCCACAUGGGAGCCUUAAUGUGGUUU